rnacentral:miRNA from 1 species
CAACUGUGGACAUACCCUUUG